UCGAAUGCGACCCUUGGCUGCCGCUCCCAAAACGCCACCACUAAAGUCUUCCAGCCAGUUUUUGCCCAUGUGGGACCAACCCAUUCUUCCCUACCGGAAGUGGAAGGGGGCGGAGCCGGCGGAAGUUCUAUCUCCACCAGGCGCAAGAGGCCAAUGUGUAACUUCCUCCCGGGGAGGGGACACUUCCAGUUACUGCGCCCCAACCUAACCCUACGGGUGCCGAGCGCGGCCAGCGCAGUGCGCCUGCGAGCUGUCCCUGCAUCCCGCGCGCAGUGGGCGUUACUAACGGACAGCACCGGCCUCUGGGAGUUCAGAUACAGUGAUGCUUCAGAAACUGUGGACCCUCGGACCCAGCCCCUGUUAAUGUUGAAGGACCAGGAAAUAUGAAUCUAGGUAGCAGCUGAGGCUCUAGCUAAGGACCAUGCAAAGCGUGUUGGAGAAUGUGUUUCCAGCUCACCUAAGUAAAAAAAAAAAGACUACCCGACCCGACCGCACAGAUUCGCAGUCGAGUUGAAAUCGAUCUGAAAAAAAGAAUUGGUGCGCGUUAAUUUAAACAAAUCUCCUAAGAUCCAAGGCUACAGGAUCCGAGCUCACCAAAGAUCACAACACGGGGUAUGAGUUCCCGAGAGCCUGCUGUAAAUACGCCAGCUAUUUAAUCUCACUUGGAACCUGCAAGUUAGGUAACAUCCAGAUCUCCUUCCCAAAUGAAGGGCCGUGGCACAGGUGUCCUUGGAUGACCUGAAACUCACAUGGACAGGCCUGGCUUUGGACUCCUGGACAGACAGACAUACUGCCUCAGCUUCCAGAGUGUUGGGAUGAUAGGCAUGUGCUACCAUGCAGAGCUCUGCUUUGUAUUUUGAGACAGGGUCUCACUUUGUAACCCAUCUUGAGUUACAGCAAGCCUCCUGCCCUGGCCUCUAGAGUGCUGGGUUUUCAGGUGUAUAUAACCACACUCAGUUUACUUUCUGUAUGUUAGGAUGGUUUGGUAUUUCCCAAAGUUUGAAGGCUUGGGGGAAGUUUAUGCUCUUAGGGUAAGUCAUUGUUUGGAGCCUCAAAACGUUCUCUACCAGGGGCGUGGCUAUCUUGAACAAACUAACCAGUCCUGAGUCUGUAUUCCUGACAACUUCCUGAUUUAAGUCUCACACUCAAACCAUUUUUUCUCUUCUCCUAACUCACCCAGAGCCAGGUAUCAGGCGACAAGCCACCACUUGUGUAUCCAAACCCUCUGAACUGUUCCAGUUUGCCAUUGUUUGCCUGCCCAAGUUUUCCUCUCCCUUAGGAAUGGCAGCAAAGGCUCCACCUCAGACUUACCUCCACAUUCUGCGUCUUUGUUUUAAGAGCUUGGGCUACUCUGCAACUUUCCACGUAGCCUACUGACCUUGAACUUGUGAUUCUCCUGCGUCAGGCUCCUGAGUGCUGAGAUUGCACGUGCACAUCUGCACACUGAGCCUCCUCCCAUCAACCUGUGUUCUACUGCAUCAGACAGACUUGGUGCUCACCCUUGGCCCUGCCUAGCCAUGGGGCACCCCCUUCUCUGGGUAGGAUCUGUGGCAGUAGAACCAUCUCCCAAGUUUCCUUCUGGUCCCCUCCCAGGGCUAUUACCAUCCCACCUUCAAUCCCAUCCUUAGCAAGUACAGGUGUCUAGGAAAGUGGCAUGAGGACACACAGAUGAUAAGCCAAAAGUCUUAACUCACCUCAAGAAAUAGAUGAAAGAAACUCGGAGACUAUUGGGAAUUCUCCUCUUUGAGUUAUGAUCCUCUUAGUGGAGGAUGGGGGCGGGGGGCUGGCAACAGACUUGACCACAGGAGUCAGAGGUUCUAGGACCUGGUGACUUAGUUACUAUCUGUCACACCAAUAGGCCUUCUAGAAAAAAAGAUAAGGGGUUGUUAUUUAAAAAGGAUACAAGGGGCCAGAAGGAUGGCUCAGUGGGUAAACUGUGAUGACUCAAGUUCUGUCCCCAGGACCCAUACGUUAGAACAAGUUGACUCCUCCAUGUGUCCUCUGAUCUCCAUGUGCACUGAGGCUUGCACACCCUCUGCCAGCACACAGAAAAGAACGUGAUAAAACAUUCAUAGAAAAGGCAUUAGGACCGAGGAACAAAAAGCAACUGCAGAGUGCUACCAGUCUAGUGUGCAGAAAACGAUGCCUUCCUUCUGCCAGAACACAUAAAGGCAGCCCAGGCUCAGUCCUGCACUCCUGAGGGUGGGGUAGCUGGACCAGGAGUUUUCUUCUCUGGGGACAUAGUCCUUUGUUUGUUUGUUUGGGUUUUUGUUUUGUUUUGUUUUGUUUUUUCAAGACAGGGUUUCUCUGUGUAGCCCUGGCUGUCCUGGAACUCACUCCGUAGACCAGGCUGGCCUCGAACUCAGAAAUCCGCCUGCCUCUGCCUCCCGAGUGCUGGGAUUAAAGGUGUGCGCCACCACACCUGGCUUAUAGUGAGUCCUUUGUUAUAUCCUACAUGGUUACAUGGGACCACGAAAUGCAAUCUCUCUUUCUGAAUCUGAAUGUCUGCUCAUUCUCAUUCUUUUUAAUCUCUCUCUCUCUCUCUCUCUCUCUCUCUCUCUGUCUGUCUCUCUCUCUCGUGUGUGUGUGUGUGUGUGUGUGUGUAUGUGUGUGUAUGUGUGUGUGUCUGUCCAAUACCUGACAUGGUGGAUAGAUGGUAGGCCACAGGGCCUCACUGAGCAUCAGAUCUUAGUUUUGACCUUUCUUGAGGUAGGGUCUCUUGUUGUCCUUUGCAUAUGCCAGGCUAGCUGAUCCAUGAACUCCAGAUACCUCCUCUCUCUGCAGCAGCCUCCUCUCUCUGCAACAGCCUCCUCUCUCUGCAACAGCCUCCUCUCUCUGCAGCAGCCUCCUCUCUCUGCAGCAGCCUCCUCUCUCUGCAGCAGCCUCCUCUCUCUGCAGCAGCCUCCUCUCUCUGCAGCAGCCUCCUCUCUCUGCAGACAGCCUCCUCUCUCUGCCUGCCCUCUUAACCAUAGGAGAGCUGGGACCUGAACUUGUUGGGAUUAGAGGCCCACAUCACCACAUGCUGGUUUUGGCCCUCUUUCUUAUCUUCCACCACUUGAUCCAGCCCAGGACAUCCCUCCACUCUGCCUGCCAUGAAUUAACUCUUCUCUGGGUGGGAUCUGUGACUGUAUCGCCAUCUUCCUUGCUUCAGGUCCUCUCUCAGGAUUAUAAAGUCUUUACCAAGCCACCUCCCACUUCUGCAAGAAUAGUAUACACUGCAGGUGUUGGGGAAAGGGGCUGGGUAGGGCACAGGACAGAUGCCAAGCCAGGGAUGUAAUUAACCUCAAGAAAUAGAGGGCAGAGACUUGGGCCUUCUCUCUGAAGGGAGAUGCUAAGGGUGAAAGGUAGUGAAGGGAAACGACCACUAAGGUCCGCGGCCUCUGGCAGGGACGACACCAGUGAGCACUGGCAGCGUAGCUCAGACUCCUGGAAGCAAAGGUUCGAGACCAUUCUUAGAAAAGAUACGAGGGCUGGGGUUGUAACUCAGUAGUAGUGUGCUUGCUUAACUUGCCUGAAGCCCUGGGUUUGAUUCCCCAGCACCCAAUGUAAGUGUGGUGCCCAUGCCUGUAAUGCCAGCUCCUGGGGAGGCAGAGGCAGGAGAGGCAGGUCAUCCUGUGCUGCACUGCAAGGUCGCAAGGUCGCAAGGUCGAGGCCAGCCAGGGCUUCCUGAGUCCCAGUCUCAGGAAAGUUUAAAGAAAAAUCGACACAACACAGGGGGUUGCAAAGAGUGCUCAGAGGGCAGUGGCAGAAGCCAGGUCCUCUACCCACUGCUCCCUCUCCCCAGAAUGAGGGAGGCCACACCCCUCAGUCUCUCAAGGCCAGCUUCAGAGAGCUGCUGUGACCUCACAGCUCUCAGAGUUCCAUUCUCUCUAAGCCCCCUACAGUGCCAAGCCCAGACACUGAUGCCCAGACAACCUCGACUUAUAACUCUACUUAUAUCUAGUUCCUUCCUGUCUUGUGACUCACACCACAUAGGCUAGCUAGGUCAAGUGAUAUGGAUCUUAUCACCCUCCCCCCACCCCCCAAAAAAUUGUAAAAUGUCCCCUUUCUUUCCCUUCAGGGUCCCCAUCAUGCUGUACCUGGUGGCUCUCUUUCCUUAUGCUCUCCCGCUUCAGGCCCCAUCGUGGGCGCCUCUGCUCAUGAGCCUGUAGCUCUCCCUAAUAAAGCUCUAUGAAGGGUGAUUCGCUUCAGCCUGUGUUUGCUAUGACCUUGACUUGUCUGUUAUACAGCAGAAAGCUUGUCUCUAAGAGUUACUAGAGGGAACUCAAGGCUCUCUGAAAAAUACCUUUAAAGCCAGACACGGUAGCUGUGCCUGUCAGGUCAGCACUUAGGAGAUGGAGCCAGGAGGAUCAUCAAGACUUCAUGGGUCUCCUCAUCUACAGGCCAGCCUGGGCCACAUGAAUCCUAGCGUCAUAAAAACCAACCUGGAAACUGUCCACGACAAGAAUUUUGAGCAGGGGGCCGUCAGCCAUGAAACCCUUUCCCUGGCGAGUGGCUACACUGUUGACAUCACAACCCUGUCACCUUAGAUUAUUAUCGUCACUUUCACGGCAGCUGCAGAGGAUCACCAGGACAGCCAGCCCAGGAAAUCAGCUCUCUUGGCCAGAGACAUGACCCUGGCCAUCCUAAUAGCCAACCUAUGAUUGAUGUAACCCUGAUCCUUGAGUGACAGACUAUGUCUUUGAUGUAAUACCCUUGUCAUACACUAUGGUGUAUAAGCUUUAAUUUUUUUUUUUUUUUUUUUAAUUUUGAGACAAGGUCUGGACUCAAAGCUGGUAUGUAGCCAGGGUGAUGAUUUUUUUAAUGAUUUAUUUCCUUGUGCAUUGUUUUAUCUGUAUGUCUGCAUGAGGGUGACAGAUCCCCUGGAAUGGAGCUAAUGACAGUUGUGAGCUGCCACGUGGGUGCUGGGAAUUGAACCAGCAGCCAGUGCUGUCAAUCUCAGAGCUCUCUCUCCAGCCCCUAGAUUUACAGUUUGAACUCCUGAUUCUCCUGCUUUAACCUCUAGACUGGGGCUGUGGGUGAACGUCUCCCUGCUUCCUUUCGAUGGACUCAUUUGAAACAAGUGUUUCACUUUGUAUCCUAGGCUGCUAGGGAACUCACAGCAGUAUUCUCUGCCUCUUCUUCCGGAGUGCUGGGCUUGGAUGUGUGUCCACUGUCAUCCUUGACUUCUUGCUGUAUCUUAGGUUGUUUUCACAUCUUCCCAAGCUUUCUGGCUUGAGUAGCGCCUCUUACCCCUGCAGGGUCACUGUUUCUUGGAAUAAAAUUGGUGCCGACCGGGAGCAUGUCUUUCAAAUACAAACCAGUGCAGAAUCUGCAAUGGAAUUAAUUUAUUGUGUAAUCUACAACAAUGGGUUCACAACUUGUGUUUGAAGCCAGUGCAGCCUAGCCCGCAUAGGGUGCAAUAUAAGAAAUGUUAGCCGCUAUCAAAUACUGUGAAGCUGAUGUGCAUGACGAAGCUCAGGCUUUUUGUUUGUUUUUUUUUUUCCAUUUUUUAUUAGGUAUUUAGCUCAUUUACAUUUCCAAUGCUAUAUAUCCCUCCACCUUGUAAGAUUUUUAUGCAAAUAUUUUAAUCCCUUCCCAACCUGGUAAAACCUUUGUUACACAAAGUAAACUGACUUAAGAGGCAGCCUGCUUCUUGCUUUGUUUCAUUUGCUCUGAGUCUUUUCAACUAGUUAACCAACAACUCAGGUCAGACCCAGCCAAUGGGGAAAAGACCACCGGCA
rnacentral:lncRNA from 1 species